ACGGAAGGCAGCAGUGAGGAAUAUUGGUCAAUGGGCGCAAGCCUGAACCAGCCAAGUAGCGUGAGGGAUGACUGCCCUACGGGUUGUAAACCUCUUUUGUUUGGGAAUAAAGGAGCCUACGCGUAGGCUUUUGCAUGUACCUUUCGAAUAAGCAUCGGCUAAUUCCGUGCCAGCAGCCGCGGUAAUACGGAAGAUGCGAGCGUUAUCCGGAUUUAUUGGGUUUAAAGGGUGCGCAGGCGGGCUGCUAAGUCUCCGGUGAAAUGUCAGGGCUCAACCUUGGCACUGCCGGAGAUACUGGCGGCCUUGAGAGUGGCGGAGGUAUCCGGAAUGUGUGGUGUAGCGGUGAAAUGCAUAGAUAUCACACAGAACACCGAUUGCGAAGGCAGGAUACCAUACCAUAUCUGACGCUCAGGCACGAAAGCGUGGGGAUCGAACAGGAUUAGAUACCCUGGUA
rnacentral:rRNA from 1 species